ensembl:lncRNA
AACAGAUGACAUUAUAAUAAAAGAUAAUGACUGGACAUAUCUAAAAUGUAGAUAUUUGGAUAGUUGGAAACGUACUCUAUAUAAUGCGUUUCACUGUCAGUAUGGACGUCUGACUUACUAUGACUGUACAUAUAGGGGUUAAAAUUAGGUGGGUGAAUCAAUGCAACACAUCUAAACCAGCAGCAGGAGUCACCUGAAGAGAGGACGUCCCACAAUGACCACAACAAAGAUAGUUCAUGACGUGUUUAAUGAAGUGGAUUUACAUUUGGUUGAUGAUGUGGAAUAUGUAGGAGAUUAAAAGAUAAAGAGGAAGGGAGAGCUACCAUUUUAGGAAGGGAUGCUUUGAGCAGAUCUAGAAAAUGUCAUUAUUACAAACUGAUGACAAAUAUCAUGGCAAACAGCCACAUAAAAAUAUAUAAUUAUGCUUUUGUGUGAUUUCAUGUAUGUUUUUCACUCAGUUCACUGAAAAGUGCAAAAGAUAACAAUAACUAACUACUAAACCAUCAAAUAAAAAUGUCUG